UGUUGAUCGACAAAGAGGUAGAAGUAACAAUAAUUAGAAAGCAUCUACAAAAAGCAGAAGAAACUAUCAUGAUAAACUGAAAUAGAUACAAUCGAGGAUGUUGACAGCUAAACAGCUCCAACAAGGUGCUUAAAGGAAAAAAGGCAGUGGAGAAAGUAAACUGAUUAACAACAAUGCUUUGUUGCUAUCAGCGAGCAUUAGGAAAUUGUUGAGUGAAGAUUAAGCAGGGCCCACAUAUUACAUGUACAAAACCAGAUGAAAUACAUUGCAUUAAAUUGUGGUCGUAAAAAAUAUCUCAAGUAAAGAUGAAGUGAUGGAAGACAACAUUAGACUACAAAAGGGAGUAAUUAACAGUGACGAACUAGAGAGAGAGAGAGAGAGAG
rnacentral:misc_RNA from 1 species